CUAAUUUCAAUCGCACUGGCUAUUGGAGUUUCAGACACUGUGUCCCCUUCAUCUCCAAGGGUCUCCUUUCCGUGUCUUGCAGGGGCUGUUUGGGCUGGCGUGCCCUGAGGGUCAGAGUGUCUCACCUCCCCUCGCUCGGGGGACAGUGAGCCCUGCACUUGUGACAAGCGUGCCCCCAGGAAGAGGGGCUCCUUCUUUGGGCUCUCGCGCUCACUUCCUCAUGCCUUAGCUUUCCUUUUCUGCCUGGAUUCCACACAUGCAAGAGAAGCCUGGGCAGCUGGCCGACCACUGCGUGAAGACAGGGAGCCUUGUUCUCUCCGGCUAGCUCUCCCCAUUUUGUGCGGAUCCUCAGCUGGCCUGAUUCCCGGCUCUCCCCCGCCCCCCUUCCUGUCCUCUGGACAGCUGCUGUGUGGCCAUGGCCCCUGACCAAGGCCCAGAUCAUGUGCUCACGCUGAGAACUGCGUGCAUUUCCAGGUUUGACUUUGGUGUUCCGAGUGGAUAGGAAAAAGCUGCGGCCAGAAAGGCUGCACACAGGGCUUGGACUGCGCUGGGUAGGAGCGGCGCCUGGGUCGGAGACUGAAGGAGAGUCAGGCUGCCGAGUUCCUGUGAACUUCCGGAACUGAGCCAUCGCACCAGCGUUAGUGUGGGGGUCUGUGCCACCGUUGGCGUCUUUCCACAGUUCAGGCUCUUCCGUCAGCCUUCCUGUUCUUCCCUACUCUCCUCUUUGGAUGCUUCAGUCUUUAUGUAGAUAAGCAGGGACCCUGGGCCUUGCCUUCCAAAGCUUAGGGGAGGCCUUCAGAUGACACACCAUGGCCUGGUGACCGAGGCCUAGCUUGUUUGUCUAAGUGAGUCAGAUAGCGGGACACACUGUCAGCCACAGCCUUGGCUGCGGGAUCAGUGAGCUGUCCUCAGCAGAGGCCCUCAGCUGACCUAGUGGUCUACCUGCAGCUCCUGUGGCAGCUUUGGAGAGUACAGAAAAGUGAGGAGCAGGAACAACUGUCCUGUGGCCAUUUCCACAGGCAAGGAUGCUUACAACUUAGGCAUAUUUUCCCUGCCUCUUUUUCUGUGUUUUCUCCCAUUGAGCGCAUGCUAGCUUGCAACUUUGCCUUGUAAUUUUUCAUUAUGGCCAGUGUGAGCCAAAUUCAGACAGACCCCGCCAGCCUGUCUGAGGUCAAGACUAGCAGACAGGUCCCCGGGAAUGGGCCAUCUGGCCUUCGUCCAGUGACCAAUUUGUCCAGCAGCGUAAGCGCAGGGACUUCCCGAGGCUGGCUGUCACGCAGAGCUUACCAAGACUCCAGAUACCAGCGACCCUGGGACACUGCAGCAGCCCUGUCCGCUUAUUCCCACUUCCCCGCUGCUCAGUAACCCCACACAGGGCCUCGGGGCCCUUUAGGGAGGGCGGUGCGACCAUUGCAGUCUCUCCUUGCCAUGGUGCUGCAGUGUCCCUGGUGCCUACCCCAGCCUCUGCUCUGGUCAGUGGGGUUCCGGUCUGCAGUCUGGUUAGGGGCAGAAGCGUGGUGGCUGAUGGUUGGGGUGGCAGCACUCGGCCUCCUGCUGCCUCCUGCUCCCCAGCCGCGCUCUCUCUGGGGUCCACUUGGAGCUGUACCCACCUGGGUGCGCAGCCUCUGUGCCCCUAGGGAGGCUGUGUGGUCCCGAGAGUCUCUGUCACUCCCCACUGUCAGCGGCAUCCAAUCCUUUCGCCUGGCUUCUGGCUGCUCAGUGCUGUUCAGUGCAGCCCUGGCCUCCACUCCAGCUGCUGCUGCUGCAGGGGAGGAGGGGGAAUAGAGGCAGCCAAGCACCCUGUUCACAGUGAGCCGUGCUACGGAGCAGCCUCCUCUGCCUCCACCCGGCCUGCAGAGGAGCCUUUCUCUGGCUCAUCCCUGACCCCCUCGGUGCACCGUGUGUCUUCUGAGCCCUCUCAGGGAAUAUAUUCCCCCUGAGGGGGCUCUUCUGGCCUCACUCAUCCACCCAGUUCCAGGGGGACCCUUCCCCGGCCUCAUGGCUCCCUUCCUCUGUGCCCUGCAGGCCUUUCAAGGCUGCUCAGUGUGGGCCUUUGUUCUCUGUAGGCUUCUAGCACCCAUCCCCGAGGCGAGUCUGUGCCCCUGGCCCGGCCUUCCAGAGCAGCAAGUUCUGUUUCCUAGCAGGGUACUGCAAGUCCCUUAUCUGCAGGCCCCUGGCUGCCGCACUCAGAUCCCCUUCCGGGGACCCUGGCCCUGCCACCGCGCGCAUCCCGCUCCUGCUCCUCUUCCGGUGUCCUCCCUGUCCUCCCUCCAGGCCCAGCACACCCUGCCUGCUCAGGGGCCUGGCAGCAGGCUCUCAGCUCUUCCUGCGUGGCCUGCUGCUCUCCUGUGUGUAGCUCCACAAGUCCCACAGCCAAGCGAGAUGGCAGUCACUGUCCCUGCGGCAGAGACAGAGAGCUCUGGAGCCAUCGUGAAACACCGGGUCCCCAGGAGGCAGAGCCAAAGGUUUCCUGGGACUAACACACCUGUGGGAGAGGCAGGAAGGAAGCAGUGUUGGAAAGCAGGUUGGGGCCGACUUGCCAGUGUCAGCCUGCCAGACAGGCAGGGCCGGCAGAACCGAGCCUGCUGUGCCCUGAGUCCAGCUUCUUGGAAGGUGCUGUGGCCCCUCUGGUGCAUUGGACAACUGCUGGAUGCUGAAGGGCACGUGCUUCCGGGGCGCCUGCUCCCAGGGCAUCUGAGGCCUGUUCCUCUGCUGGGAGCGCAGCCUGCCCGGACAGAGCAGAUCUGAGCAGUACGGGACACCGGGAGGCCGCAGAGUGGAGAAGGCUCCUGGCAAGCACGCUCACCUCUGGUCACUCACAGGCUGCUGCGGCAUCUUGCAGGCCGGCCUUGGAACCUCAGAGCCCGACCCAAGACAACUCACACCCUGAGUUCUGAGAGAUGUGAAACUCCUGAGCUCCUGUGUCUGAGGAAGGAAGAGCAAUGAAGAUUUUAGAAGUCCAGAACUAUGCUGUCUGGUUUUUCCUGGCUCCUGAUCUGGAGAACUUGCAGCCUCCUGUUUCGCUAUCUAGUCAGACAACAAAGCCAGUCUUGAAGGCCAGUUCCUUCCCAAGGGCAAUUCUGGUUGGAUGUUGGAUCUGUACCUUCCCAAGUAUUGUGACUUCCAAAGGUGGGGCUUUGGGGAGGUGAUUGGAUGAUGGAGUGUGACACUCAUCAAUGGAGCAUGGCCUGGAUAUAUAUCUCUUCCCUCCUCCGUUGCCCACUCUCUGCUUCCUGACACCAUGCCAUGAGCUGUUUCUCCUCUGCGGUGCCCCUCUGCCAUGCUGCCUUGCUUUGGAGCCAGCUGACUAUGGACUACAACGUCUACAAACUUUACUUGACAAUGGGCUUCUCAAGGUGGGUGUCAAACCUUUGCUACCAUCAAAUCUCUGUGAUUCCAUGAAGCUCCAAGUCCACAGUGAUUGUCUCCAGUGUUGUAAGGACAUCAAGAAUGUCCGUCCCUUCACACAGAUCAAGUCAGAGUGUGAAAGAGACUCUCCAGGGCAAGUUGUCAUUGGAAGGAAUUCAGAGCUGCCAUGUGUCAUCAGUACAUAGCUGAGGAGAAGCCACAAAAGGAUUACCACUAUUUCCCAAAAAAAGCUAUUAAGAAGGUUAUUGAUUAUUUUCCAAAUAACUUCCACCUUCAUCACAGGAUAUUGUGAUCACUAAAGAGGCACUGUCAAGUAUCUUUUAAAAAUAGUUUUCUUCUUUUUAUUUUCUUAAUAUUCACUAGGCUAGGUCUCCAUUUAGAGCUCUCAAGUGAUUUUUCUUUCUUUACCCAUAACACUUAUCCUUGCCCUUCUGGAAAAUGGACUUGAAUUGCUAUUUCCGUCAGAUGGCAGCUGGGUUUACUUAAAGAUAUUUGGGUAGGUCAGACACAAGUCCAGUUACACAAAUCAUUGUUGAAUGCUGUCAACCUGUUGUCCCUGCCUCCUACACUUCCUUUCCUACUCUAACCUCUUACUGUUUUCUAUAUAUGAUUGGAGAUACCAUUUUUUUUCUUUCUGAACUCCAGGCUUUUAGGUACAUGUCAGCAGGCUUUUUGGUGACAUUUAAAGUAGAAAGGCAUUUGAUCUAUAUGAUAUCUAGCUGUCCAUCACAUGUAAGUUACCCACAGCAUAACUAAUAUUAAACAUAAUGGCAUCCAUUAUGAUUAGCCUUCAAACCAAUUCACUGGGGUAUAGGAAUAUUGUAGCAUUAGUCCAUUAAGGAUGUAUAAUGUUGGCGUUGGACCAUCUCUCGAUGGAGUUUCUCCCCUUUUGUGUUGAUGGUUAAAGGUACAUUUUGUUUCCUGUUAUUCUGUGUUUAUUCCAAUACAGUGAGCAUCACUGACCUACUAGUUAAGAGCAGUUGACUAUAUUCUACUACAUUUCUUAUUUCUCAAUGCUCAGUUGAGAAAAAGAAUUCUAUCUAGAAAAGAGCCAUUUUCUUCAGGUUCUGAACAUCUGGAGGGCCCAGAACCAUACACUACACUAAUUUCAAAGUUGGAAACUUCCACGGGCUUCUCAAGCCUUCUAGCCACACUAAGAAGUGAAGUUUUCCUCUUCAUUUUAAAAUACGGGAUCUAAGGUCAUAUCUCUUUCUUCUUUUGGUUUUUGUUGUUCUUUAGCUCAUACAGGGGUAUGGGUAUGUAAACUUUGGCAUUGGACAAUUACCCAUCAUAUGGCAUGGUACGCUUCAGUUGGUACAUUUGUUGCAUCACAAUUCAGAAGAUGGUUUGUUUUGCCUUUUAAGAUUUAUUUAGCAUAUAGGUAUGAAGGACCUCCUGUGAGCUAGGUGCUGUGCUGAACACUGGGGAUGCACAGAUGAGAAAGACACAGUCCCUGUUCUCAGGGAGCAAAGAUGUAGAUAAAAUAGUUAUCUGUCUAGCUGCAUGAGGUCAAAAUGAUAUGGAGUCUCCUGCUUCACACUAAAACUUUCUGUCUGAGGUUCUUCAUCUUGGGAUGAGGGUAUGUGGUGGACACUCUUAGUUACUAUCUAAAAGCUAUUUCUUUCUUCUUUACUAAAAGAGUACUCAUUUCCAUUAGGUAUGGAGCUAACAAUUUAGUUAGGAGUUUUGAUACUUUCAGCUUGUGCUAGACAUUAGUAAUGUUUACUAACUCAUCCUUCACUCCAGAGAACAUGAAAGACUAACUCCAAGCUCCCUGUAGUGAGUAGAAUCAUGUGGUUAGGUUUGCCCAAGGAGCUGGGAAGGCAAAUGGCUGUGUGACUUCUGGGCUAAAACAGAGAAGAGCAAAUGUGUGAGCUUUGCCAAGGUAACUAGCGACAAUCUCUAUGGCAGUGCUUCUGUCAGGUUUGGGUCCCUAAGUGACUAUAUGGAGCAAAGAUCCUCAUCAUUUUGCACUGAACAUAGAGCAGGGGUGAGAAGUGAACUAUUAUGGUAAGCCAGAGGAACUGUGAGGUUAAUUUGUCAGCUAAGGUACAGCUGAAACCGUCCCUACAGGUUCAUUAUAUUUCUUGUAGGAUUGUACAGAUCAGACUUCUAUUUUUCUCAUUCGUAGCUAUGUUAUUUGUGAACUUGUAUGAUCUUAGUCAAGUUACUUAACCUUCCUGUCCUUUGGUUUCCUCAUCUGUAGCAGGGAGUUAAUAAUGCCUCCUCCCUCAGGGGGUCAGGGUGAGUACUGAAGAAAUUAAUACACAGGAAGCACCUAGAAUAGGGCCUGGCAGAUGACAAGUGCUAUACAGUAUUUGCUGUUGGGGAGAGUGCCCAGUGUGGGCCCUGGCUCUCAUAUUGUUCUAUUACCUUUGUUGGUAUAGUAAGAGUUAGAAUGAUCCAUAUGACGUCUUCACACUUAGUGAGCACUUAAUACAAGGUCACUGCUAUUUGGUGAUUGUGCUUUUGUACUUAAUUCUGGAUAUACAUGCUCUGUCUGUAGGCUGUCUUAAAAUGAUAUAUGCGUUAUCCUCCAAGACUUCCUUUUCAAGCUGGGAGGUAGUUAAGUGUAUGGAUUUCCAAGGAUAUGUCUGAAUACAAAAUAAAGACACUACAAUAUCAGCAAAACUUUAAUUAAUCAGGGAAAGCACUAACCAGAAGUGGUGCUAUACAUAAAUUUGAGGGCAAAGCAACCCACAGAGAAGCUGCACUCAGAAGAAUUAGCCUUGUAUAAUGAAGAUUUGAUUGUAUUUGCUCUUUAGAGGUAUUAAACAAUAUCUUCCAUGCUCUUCAUUUCAGAUGAGAAAACUUAAGCCCGGGCAAGGAACAGGGCUGGUUUAGGAUAACACAGUUAAUAGCAUAAGCUGAACUAAAGACCAGGGUUCUUGACUCAGCAUUCACUGCUUCUUUAUUUAUGUUUGCAUUUUGCAUUUGUAAAACUAUCCAGUCCUAAAAUAAGAAGGCCAUUAGUUUUUUGUUUCAAAACUCUCAAAAGCUUAGCAGAAACUCAGUCAAAAAGGUGUGGUUUGGAAAGAACCAGGGAAUCCAGAUAAGCAGCAUAAGGUAGCGAAAGCUAGGUUCGGCUUUUAACAUUUGUGCCAUUUGGAAACCAAUACAGAGCAACUGAAGCCCUGGACUUCAGAAAAUUAAAGUAAGUCUGCUUUUAUGCUCUGCCCUUUGCACAGAUCAUCCAUUUGGUCAGUGCUGGGUAGCUCAUGUCUUUGAAUCCAUCAAAAAUGCCUUGAUUUUCCUUUGUCUAUUCAUUGGCUACAAGGGUAUCCUGACCAUUCCAGAUUUUGGAUGGGCUGCCCAGAAUCACCAUCAACUUUGCUUCUUAGCCAAAUAGAGGAAGGCAGAAAUGAAAGAGUCCUACCAGUGUGUUUUGUGUGAGUUUCCUUGGACACAAACACAGGAGCAGGGUUUCUUUGGAGCAGCCGAUCUCCCCAUUUUGAAUUUUGCUAAGUCAGGUAGUUGAAUUCAUUGAGGAAUUCUGGGUUUUCUCUGUCUUGGGAAAUUACUGAUAACAUCAGAGUCAGAAGGAGGUGGAUAAAAUGGAAAAGAAAAUUCGUAAGAGUCAUGCUAAGAUUCAGAUUUCCAACCCCACCCAAUUCUUCCCCAGCUCUCCUUUUAGCUGCUACUUGCUUCCCAAGAAGCAGAAAACAAUAGGCUACUGAUUGAAUUUAGGUCUAAACAUCAGGCAGUUAAAGGGAAGGGAAGUAAAGCAUAGUUACAUUUAGAAUCCAGGUCAUAUUACUGUGUUUCCAUUAGGCAGCGUAGUCUGUGUGCCUAAUACUUUACAUGAUGGCUCUGGCUCUGAAGCCCAACUUGAAAGCUCAUUCAUUUUGGUAACUAUUCUCUUGUUCACAGUUUCUAGUGAACAUUGUUGUAGUUAAUGUCUUCUGAGAAAGUACAAAGGUUUUGUAGUGAAGAGAAGGAAAAGCAUAUUAAUUCUAAUUAAUUCUAAAUCUUUGGAUAAAGGUAUAGCCAUUAGAAAGCUGAAGUUUAUGGUAGGGAGACUAGCAUACAAAUUUUCUUGUUCCAUUUAUAUUUCCUCCAGAAUUUAAGUAACAUGUCUACUCUGGUGAACUUCCUAGAGUAGGCACCAUAUUAUUUAGAAAAUUUCACUCAUUUAUCUGAAAUUGUCUCACAUACAACUGCCACUUGUAUGCCUCUUUUUGUUUUAUGAUAGCCCUUUCUCUGUCUUUCUCUAGCAUUCAUUCUUCAAUUAGGGAAUUUGUACUGAAAGUCAAUUACAUGCCAGACAAUACCAGCAGCACAAUUGAUAUCGUGGUCACCAAGGCAGUGUUCCUCUUGUUCAUUGCUCUGGAAUAAACUACCCUCAAAUCUUAAGUGCCCUAAAGCAACAAACAUUUUACUGUAUCCCACAGUUCAGGAAUUCAGGCAGGGCUCAGUUGGGUGGUUCUUUUGAUCAACACAGAUCCCUCAGCAGUAUUUGGCUGGCUCUUGCCUGGCCUAGAGGACCUGCCACAACUUCAUUCAUAGAUCUCAUGCCUUGGCAAGGAUGGCUGCAAGACCGUCCUCAGCUGUUCCUGUUAACCAGAGCACCCACACAGGUGAUUGAACUUACUUUUAAAUAUAUUUUAACUGGCAAAUUGAAAUUGUAUAUACUUUAUAGGGUACUUUAUAGUGUCACAUUUCGAUAAUGUGCACAAUGUGUAAUGAUCAGAUCAGGGUAAUUGGCAUAUCUAUCACUUCAGACACAUCAUUUCUUUAUGUGGCAGCUUAGGGCUCCAAGUGCUAGUAUUCCAGUGACCCAGAUGGCAAAGUCCUAGCCUUUUGUGACCCAUUGUCUGAAGUCUGAGAACAGCACUUCUACUGCAUUUUCCUAGUCACACAAUUCACUGAGGGCCAGACCAGAUUCAAGAGAGCCAAUUAGAUUAUACCUCUCAAUGUAGGAAACACAAAGACUUGGUGAACAGCUUUAACAAAUAGCUGCCCUUAAGCAGAUUAUAUCCCUAUGGAGUAAGAAGCAGAUAGGUCAACAAAUCAUCCAGAGGCCCAGGCUGCCUUGAAUACAUGACUAGGAAGCCUAUUAAAUAGUCAGAGCCUUCUCUGACUAAGCAACAGAGGACCUGGGGUUGUUCCCUUGUUCUUGCCCGUUAUGCUCCUGUGACACCCCCUACCCUCCUGCUCAGCAUUUCACAUUACACCACAAAACAGCCAACUUUGCUGGCAAACACAUGCACAGGACACAACACAGCAUCGUGCCUGCACACAGCUGCUUCCAUCAUUCUGAUUGGUAACUGUCUGACCAAAUUGAGAAAUUGCUAAGCAAGUACUAAUUAUGUGGGCAAGUUCAAUCAGAGCUAGCGAUUGGUAUUGCUGUUCUCUCUGCCAGGACUGUUCCCACUCUUCUUCAUCUUACCAACUCUUACUUAUCCUUUUGAAUUCAGUGUGAGGAUCUUCUUCUUACUGUAAAACUGCUUGACUGCCUUCAUUUCAAUUGGAUUUAGAUGCUUUCCCUUGGACUCCCUUAGUUCUCUCUUCUCCCAGCUUAUCUCCAUCAUUUCUAUACUUUCAUAUUUUAUUGUAAUCCUUGAUUUACUUGGCUUUCCAGCUUCCUCCCCAAAGAGAUGUAUUGUAAUCCAACAGAUAUGUCUGGAAUUAUGAUGUCAGCUAUAUAUUAGGUCCUCCCCAAGAGAGCUACAGAUGUUAGGGUGAUUCAAACUAAUACAUUCACUCCCUAUACAUUUAGGUCUUUCAGCCUGGUGGCAAAGGUAAAUAUUGAAUUGCUACAAAUUCAAUGAGUGUUCCAAAAAGUGCCUGACUGAGUCACACAGGUAGUGAUAGGGACUGUGUCAUCUUCCCCAUUGCUGCCAUGGUAUCUGGCAUACAAUAGCACCUCAACACAUGUUUAAAUGCAUGAGUGAAUGUUGGCAGUACAUUCACUGAAUGUUAUGUCAGCAGAGUGUCAUUUUUCUUAUUGUUAAAAUCUCCCUAAGAUUUUACAAGAGUGGGCCAUGAUACCUUUUAUUAAGAAACCACAGACAGAGGGAGCAUUUGGACCCAGUCAAACCUCUUGACUGCCAGUCAGGUUAUGCUAGGCCCUACUCAUCCCUGGAUCAGUCUGCUGUCUGGCUGGUAGCUGCAAGGUAGUGUCUCUCAUUACGUGUUUUGCAUUUCUCCCCUGUUAACCUUUGACUUCAGCUAUCAUGGCCCUGUUUACGGAUGAAGCAAAGUUCCCCACUGCUCAUUAUGUCUAAUCCUUUGGAAUAAUUUGUGGUAGCACCUAACAGGCUGUUGUGAGUUAGACCUCUCCUGGGUACACAUACUUUGCUCUCUACCAUGUUCUGGUGGACCUAUUUGGCAGCUACAUUGAUCCUUUCUGGCAGGCUCUCUUUCUAGUAUUGGCUUUCAUUGAUAAUGAUUUGUAGAUAUCAGAUUCUUAGAACUGAAAAAAUAUAUAGUCUUUGGAAUCAGACAUAAUUGACUUUGAAGGGACUCUUCCGCUUGCUAGCUUUAUUUCUUGGAGCCUAAUUUUCUCAUCUGUAAAAAUAGAGAUGGUAAUCAUGACCUUAUAGGGUUAAGUGUAUUUAUCAUGUAAUUGAUGAGAAAAUGAUAGUUCCUUCCCAUAUUCCAUCAUAAUGUAUUGACUUUUAUAUUCAAAGCAGAAAUUAUUGAUUCCUUUUCCCUCCAGGACAUCGCUUAUUUUGCUGUGUUUUCCUAGGUAGGGAUGGUAGUUGCCUCCAGGGCUGACCACACCAUUAUCAGAAUUUCUGGAUUGUAGUCAUGUGGCAGCCUGGUUUCUUCGCCUAGAGAAUCUAGGCUUCAUGGCCUCUAGGACAAUGGCUUUACUCCAGCUGUAAACUUUUCUUGCAACUCUAGCGUUAUGCCAGAAUAGAAGGAAAGUGAGAGACAUAGCCUAGUUGGAAGAAGUGGGCUGCUGGAGGCAUGCCCUUGAAGGUAUGUAUAUAUAUAUAUAUAUAUCCCCCAGCCCUUUUCUCUCCGCUAUCUCUACUUCAUGUCUACCAUGCAGUGAGCAGCUUUGCUCUGCCAUGCCAUUCUGCCAUGAUGUUCUGCCUCACUGUAAACCCAGAAACAAGGGAACCAGGUGACCAUGGCUUGAAACCUCCGAAACUGUGAGCCAACAUAAAUGCUUCCUCCUUUACAUUAAUUUUCAUCAGUGGUCACAGUGAUCAGAAGCUGAUUAAAACAAUGCAGAAGACUGAGGAGAAGUGAGAAAAAACAAAAAAAUACAGCAAAAUGGAGUGUUAGAGAACUCUGUCGAAGAGCAUUUUGGAAAGAUACACCAUAGUACAUUGGCUUCAGGGAAACUUGGACAGCUCUAGGUAUGUUCGACACACAGGAUGAGGAAAGUAGUGAUGUUCCAAUCCAGCUGUGCUCUCAUAAAUGCCAAAGAGAGCAAGACCAGCUCUCUUUGGAUCUAGAUCCUCAGACUUUCAUAGGGAUUAGAAUCCAUAAUCCUGGCCUUCAUUAUAGAGAUUAUGUUUUAAUAUGUAGGACCAGGUACUCUGCAUUUGAAUUGGCUUCACACAUGAUUAUGAUGUUGGUGAUAUCCCCAGAACACUGGAGUCUCGUGUCCAUAAAGUAGCCGAUGGUUGUAUUGGUAGUUUGGAAACCCUAUAACACUCUUUUGGUGAGCUAAAGUCACCAAAUCACUAAGUUAGUGAACUGGAGGGGACCUUAGAGGGAUAAUUUACCAAUGCCACACAAAGAUGGUACUGCUGGCAUUUUUGCCUGGGCCAUUCUUUGCUGUAGUGGACUGGUUGUCCUGUGCAAUACAAGCAAUAGCUCAUCCUUGGUUCCCAUCCACUAGAUUCUAGUAGCAGCCCUCAGUCAUUCUGGUGAGCAAUUCAAACCUCACCCCAUUUAUUUUCUCAUGCCUCCUAAGGGAGUAAUGUCAUCCCCACUGAGAACCACUGGUGAUGUAGCCCCUUCAUUUUAUGUGGGAGGAAAAUGAGUCCCAGAGCAGAGAAAAGAAUUCCUAGUCUCACAGUGGGCUCUUGUAAUAAUGUACUCUCAGGUCAGAUCUCCUCUAUCCUAUAUUUCUAUAACUGAGUUGAGGAACCUAAAGGUAGGCUUGCCUCCCAGGCUGGGUGGCAAGCUUUGUUAGAAAUGACAGAUAUCUCACUAGGUCUCUGUUGUUUCUGACAGCAUCAAGUACAGUGCUUGCUAUAUAACAGGUCCCUUGUAGAUACUCACUGAGCUUAACUGAACCAUAAAAUCAUCUUUAUAUGUGGCUCCUUAAAGAGGAACAGGAUUUAGACCCCCUCCUAAGCAGUAAGGAUUCUUUCAAGAGUGAAUGGAUUGGGC